CUCAAGCUGCUGUUGCUGAUCCUCAAAUAGAUUCUGUUUAAUUUCCCUUUCCUCUGUUGUCAUCUCAUCCUUAAACAGCUCUUCACCAAACAUAUAAAAUGCAAACGGGUAUGAAUAUGAAAGAACCCUUCUUGAUCUGAAAAGUCUGUAGAGUCCAUUAUUUACCCAGCUGAAAUCUCUUAGUCUUGAUUCCCUCUCUUCAGAUAUUGAUACUUUCUCCAGGAUUGUCUCCUUAAGUUUACUUUCAAGCU
rnacentral:misc_RNA from 1 species